GAUGAACGCUGGCGGCGUGCCUAAUACAUGCAAGUCGAACGGACAGACGCUGAGCUUGCUCCUUUGACGUUAGCGGCGGACGGGUGUGUAACGCGUGGAUCCCCUCCUUAUAAUUCUGGGAUCACUUCGGGACACCGGCUCUAAUACCGGAUAAUAUAUUGAACCGCAUGGUUCAAUAGUGAAUGACGGUUUUGCUGUCUCUAAUAGCUGGAUCGGCGCCGGAUUAGCUGGUUGGUAAGGUAACGGCUUACCAAGGCGACGAUGCGUAGCCGACCUGAGAGGGUGAUCGGCCACACUGGAACUGAGACACGGUCCAGACUCCUACGGGAGGCAGCAGUAGGGAAUCUUCGGCAAUGGGCGAAAGCCUGACGGAGCAACGCCGCGUGAGUGAUGAAGGUCUUCGGAUCGUAAAGCCCUGUUAUUGGGGAAGAACAGCUGUGGAAUUAAAUAUGGACGUCUUGACGGUACCGAAUCAGAAAGCACCGGCUAACUACGUG
rnacentral:rRNA from 1 species